rfam:Gossypium hirsutum cultivar TM-1 chromosome 10, whole genome shotgun sequence
AUUUCGUGAUGAGGGCACUUUCAUAAGAAUUCUUUUUACCUUUCCCAUGCAUCAUACAAGGACUCAUCAUCCAUUUGUUGGAAAGCAGUGAUCUUGUUCCUUUAGGC